rnacentral:rRNA from 1 species
AAGGGGGGGUAACUCCCCGAGUAGAGCGGCGAACGGGUGAGUAACGCGUGGGUAAUCUACCUCCGAGUGGGGAAUAACACCGGGAAACUGGUGCUAAUACCGCAUGACAUCGUCGGGUCUUCGGAUCUGACGAUCAAAGCCGGGGACCGCAAGGCCUGGCGCUUGGAGACGAGCCCGCGUCCGAUUAGCUAGUUGGCGGGGUAACGGCCCACCAAGGCUCCGAUCGGUAGCCGGCCUGAGAGGGCGGACGGCCACACUGGGACUGAGACACGGCCCAGACUCCUACGGGAGGCAGCAGUGGGGAAUUUUUCGCAAUGGGGGAAACCCUGACGAAGCAACGCCGCGUGGAGGAUGAAGGCCUUCGGG